UGGCGGACGGGUGAGUAACGCGUGGAAAACCUGCCGUGUACUGGGGGAUAACACUUAGAAAUAGGUGCUAAUACCGCAUAAGCGCACAGCUUCGCAUGAAGCGGUGUGAAAAACUCUGGUGGUAUACGAUGGUUCCGCGUCUGAUUAGCUAGUUGGUGGGGUAAUGGCCUACCAAGGCAACGAUCAGUAGCCGGCCUGAGAGGGUGAACGGCCACAUUGGGACUGAGACACGGCCCAAACUCCUACGGGAGGCAGCAG
rnacentral:rRNA from 1 species